AUUGAACGCUGGCGGCAGGCCUAACACAUGCAAGUCGAGCGGACGAAGGGAGCUUGCUCCUGGAUUCAGCGGCGGACGGGUGAGUAAUGCCUAGGAAUCUGCCUGGUAGUGGGGGAUAACGUCCGGAAACGGGCGCUAAUACCGCAUACGUCCUGAGGGAGAAAGUGGGGGAUCUUCGGACCUCAAGCUAUCAGAUGAGACUAGGUCGGAUUAGCUAGUUGGUGGGGUAAAGGCCUACCAAGGCGACGAUCCGUAACUGGUCUGAGAGGAUGAUCAGUCACACUGGAACUGAGACACGGUCCAGACUCCUACGGGAGGCAGCAGUGGGGAAUAUUGGACAAUGGGCGAAAGCCUGAUCCAGCCAUGCCGCGUGUGUGAAGAAGGUCUUCGGAUUGUAAAGCACUUUAAGUUGGGAGGAAGGGCAGUAAGUUAAUACCUUGCUGUUUUGACGUUACCAACAGAAUAAGCACCGGCUAACUUCGUG
rnacentral:rRNA from 1 species